rnacentral:rRNA from 1 species
UACGUAGGGAGCAAGCGUUGUCCGGAAUCAUUGGGCGUAAAGCGCGCGUAGGUGGCCUCAUAAGUCCGCUGUGAAAGUCAAAGGCUCAAUCUUUGAAAGCCGGUGGAUACUGUGAGGCUAGAGUACGGAAGAGGCGAGUGGAAUUCCUGGUGUAGCGGUGGAAUGCGCAGAUAUCAGGAGGAACACCGAUGGCGAAGGCAGCUCUCUGGCCUAUAACUGACGCUGAGGUGCGAAAGCGUGGGGAGCAAACGGG